rnacentral:tRNA from 1 species
GGAAAGAUGGCCGAGAGGUUUAUGGCACAGCAUUGGAAAUGCUGUUUAGUUUUCGUACUAACAAGGGUUCGAAUCCCUUUCUUUCCU